AUAACUCCAGCUGUGUCAAGCUGACAUAGACCAGCCAGCACCGCGAGUGUUGGGGGCUGAAUGAGGACGCCUCAUUCAUACAUGCCUCGGCCCCAGCUGACAAGUUGUUUGGAAGGACUAGGAGGUGUGGCCCUGCUCAGCGGCUGUGGUCUUGGAGGAGGUAUGCCACCCGGAGUAGGGGUUGAGGCUUCAGAAGCCUACGCCAGGCCCAAUGUCUAGCUCUCUUCCUGUUACCUGCAGAUCAGGAUAUAAAGCUCUCAGCCUCACUUCCAGCGCCAUGUCUGCCUGCUUCCCACCACGAUGAUGACAGACCAACCUUCCGAGACUGUAUAGUCCACAGCCAGGAGCAGUUCUGUCCGGGUCAUAUUGUCUCUCACGUCAUCCCAAGAUGUUCACACGCUAGUCUCAGAGUUGCCCAGCGGCGGACACCUCCAGGAGUGGGUACCCCCGGAAACUCUGGGAACUGCUUCGGGUCUUCUUGGCCCAGAAGGUGAGUCCGCCCCAUCUGCACAUCUUCAGCCUCCUGAAAGUCCCCUUCCGAGGGGUGAUUUCGCCCGGAGUAGAUAUAUCAGAUGUCAGGGAUACCAGGAAGCUUCCGCGCAGGUCCACGAUGCUGCUGAAUCUGUCUCAAUGCACCUAGCGCCACCUUCCGGACAUUGCCAGUCACUUUGCCUCUGCAAAUGUGAGGCACCAAAGCCGAACAAACAGGUUGGUGGGAGAGGGGUGGGAAUAUUAAAUGGUAACCCGGAGUGAGGAACCCAGGCCCAGCGAGGACUCCAGGCUUAAUGUUGAGGCUUCUCUCUAGGACCUCACCUGGUCACAGUGCACGGGUUUUCCCUGGAGGCUGCCUCCGGACCCUCCAAGCAAAGUGCUCUCCUUCAUCCAUCCAGACUUCCUCAAAGUGAAGUUGUAAAUCUAGCUGAAUCGUAUAAACUGGUUCUCUGCAAAUAGAGAAACUAUAGCCUUGGUAUCUUGAAACAAAUGUAUUACUUGUCAGCACAAAGAGCAAACACAGUUUUGGCGUCUGCGUUUACCCGUUUGCCCACGUGAGAAUAUAGGCAUCAUUGUUGGAUUGCCAACAGCAAUGCAUAGGGGUACAGGGCAUGCCAGAGGCCCUGGAGUCAGUCCCAGCACCAACACCAAAAUACUCAACAAGACUCCUAGUGUGGUUUAGUGGAAAGAAGACAAAGAUAGAGUGUAUAGCCCAGCGUUCAGGCUGUGAUGCCCUUUCUUAGAAAGGAUGAAAGGAAUGCGUUACUAAUAUCAUUCAAUCAAGCUCUGCUCGUUCAUGCCCUUCCCAGUUCUGGGUGGGAGGGGCUCGUCUAGAGAGGCUUACAGGCAAGGUUGGGACUUGGACAGAGGAGGGGCGGGCAGCUGAUAGAGGUGAGGAAAGAGGAGACAGAUUCAGGGGAACCUGGAGAGACAGCCAGGAGAUGCCAGUUGGCCUUGAACCCUGCUGCUCCUCGGUGGCAAAGACAGGUUGGUGUUUUCUUGGCUUGUUCUGUUUUUGAGAUGGCCUCACCCUAUGGUCUUGACUGCCCUACAAUCUGCGGUGGUCAAAUGCUGUGACUUCACUCACAAGCCACUUGACUGAGACAUCAGCUUUUACUGUUUUGUCCACAGAACUAAGCAGCUUCAGGAUGUGGGAAGAGCUGACAGGAAGUGGAGGUUUGGCAGGCUGUGUACAAAGGAAAGGCUGUGACUUCUUCCCUACUCUUUUAUGGAGUGGACAGAGGCAGGCCUGCAGGAAGGGUGGGGCGCCCUUGUGUCCUCGGCAGAAUCUAGCCAGAACUGUCCUAGGAGGCUUAAGGAGGCGCCCUUGAGUGUCCCCUGAGGGGCUCUAAGCCCAGCCUCUGCUGACUUUUGACCAAAAAAAGCAGAAAAGUAUCCGCUUGGGUGUCUGGUAGCAGCCUACACCUCCACCCUGUCCCCAGGCUCAGCCAGAAAGGAUUUGUUUGUAAGAAAAUCGAAGGUACUCGUGAGGCCCGUAGGUGAGGGGUGACUCCAAGUGGCUUUGUGGGAGCACAAGCACAGUGCCUGCAAGCACUCAGCCUUUAGCUUGGUGUUGCCUGUGGAUACUCUGGUCAACACUGGUGCACAAGAACUAUGUGAAGAUUAGUGUUAAUUAUCAGUUUGGUAAGAUCUAGGCUCAGGACCUCUGAGCACGCCUGGAUGGGAAUUGUGAUUGCUGACUGUGGUGGAAAGGCCUAUCUAGUAUGGAUAGCAUGGCUCCUGAACUGUAUAAAGCAGAGAGAAAAGUUACUGAGCACUAUCAAGCAUGAAUUCAUUACUGUAAUGGUCUGUCCUGUCCCUUUAAGAGACAAACUCCCCCACCUCCACUGAGGCAAGCAGAUCUUCCUUCCAGCCUGAGUCCCUU